GCAGCCGCGGUAAUACAGAGGUCUCAAGCGUUGUUCGGAAUCACUGGGCGUAAAGGGUACGUAGGCGGCGAAGUAAGUCGUGCGUGAAAGGCAGGGGCUCAACCUCUGGAGUGCGCGUGAUACUGCUUUGCUAGAGUGAUGGAGGGGGAACUGGAAUUCUUGGUGUAGCAGUGAAAUGCGUAGAUAUCAAGAAGAAGACUCGUGGCGAAGGCGAGUUCCUGGACAUUCACUGACGCUGAGGUACGAAGGCUAGGGUAGCGAAAGGGAUUAGAUACCCC
rnacentral:rRNA from 1 species